rnacentral:rRNA from 1 species
GAUGAACGCUGGCGGCGUGCCUAAUACAUGCCAGUCGAGCGAACAGACGAGGAGCUUGCUCCUCUGACGUUAGCGGCGGACGGGUGAGUAACACGUGGAUAACCUACCUAUAAGACUGGGAUAACUUCGGGAAACGGGAUCUAAUACCGGAUAAUAUAUUGAACCGCAUGGUUCAAUAGUGAAAGACGGUUUUGCUGUCACUUAUAGAUGGAUCCGCGCCGCAUUAGCUAGUUGGUAAGGUAACGGCUUACCAAGGCAACGAUGCGUAGCCGACCUGAGAGGGUGAUCGGCCACACUGGAACUGAGCCACGGUCCAGACUCCUACGGGAGGCAGCAGUAGGGAAUCUUCCGCAAUGGGCGAAAGCUUGACGGAGCAACGCCGCGUGAGUGAUGAAGGUCUUCGGAUCGUAAAACUCUGUUAUUAGGGAAGAACAAAUGUGUAAGUAACUAUGCACGUCUUGACGGUACCUAAUCAGAAAGCCACGGCUAACUACGUG